rnacentral:rRNA from 1 species
AGAAUCAACGCUGGCGGCGUGCCUAACACAUGCAAGUCGAACGAGAAAGUGGAGCAAUCCAUGAGUAAAGUGGCGACCGGGUGAGUAACACGUGACUAACCUACCCUAGAGUGGGGAAUAACCUCGGGAAACCGGGGCUAAUACCGCAUAACAUCAUCGGGUGUAAAUUCCUGAUGAUCAAAGGAGCAAUUCGCUCAAGGAGGGGGUCGCGGCUGAUUAGUUAGUUGGUGAGGUAACGGCUCACCAAGACUUAGAUCAGUAUCCGGCCUGAGAGGGCGCACGGACACACUGGAACUGAAACACGGUCCAGACUCCUACGGGAGGCAGCAGUGGGGAAUUUUGCGCAAUGGGGGAAACCCUGACGCAGCAACGCCGCGUGGAGGAUGAAGUCCCUUGGGAUGUAAACUCCUUUCGAUCGGGACGAUUAUGACGGUACCGGAAGAAGAAGCACCGGCUAACUCUGUGCCAGCGAGCCGCGGUAA